CCUACGGGCGGCUGCAGUGGGGAAUAUUGGACAAUGGGGGCAACCCUGAUCCAGCCAUGCCGCGUGUGUGAAGAAGGCCCUCGGGUUGUAAAGCACUUUCAGUGAGGAAGAACGCCUGGUGGUUAAUACCCAUCAGGAAAGACAUCACUCACAGAAGAAGCACCGGCUAACUCCGUGCCAGCAGCCGCGGUAAUACGGAGGGUGCGAGCGUUAAUCGGAAUUACUGGGCGUAAAGCGCGCGUAGGUGGCUGGAUAAGCCGGUUGUGAAAGCCCCGGGCUCAACCUGGGAACGACAUCCGGAACUGUCAAGCUAGAGUGCAGGAGAGGAAGGUAGAAUUCCCGGUGUAGCGGUGAAAUGCGUAGAGAUCGGGAGGAAUACCAGUGGCGAAGGCGGCCUUCUGGACUGACACUGACACUGAGGUGCGAAAGCGUGGGUAGCAAACAGGAUUAGAUACCCGUGUAGUC
rnacentral:rRNA from 1 species